UUUUAUCUGGGUUGCUAACUCAAUGGUAGAGUACUCGGCCGGGUUCGAGUCCCGGGCAACCCAACCCAUAUACAAA
rnacentral:tRNA from 6 species